CCGCCGGAAAUCGUGGUAUCCAUAGAGACGCUGUCGGAAGUUGAGGUUGCUAGGAGGCCUUGGGCGCAUCGACUGACAUGUCUGAAGUCUCAGGAGAUUAUAAUUCUGACUCCGAUGAGAGUCUGAGUCUGCAGCCUAAAAGAACCAAAUCUGGUAAAUUACAUAAUGCUAACGCAGACACCUUGUUUGAGGUAAGCUCUAAGCUGUCCCCAAAUACUGACCGAGACCCAGGAAAUGUAGGAAAUGUGCCACUAGAGCCAACCAGGACACGCAAGGGGGAUUUGGUGCCCGUAGGUAAAAAUCAUGAGGUGCCAGACCUACAACGACAGGACGUUUCAGUAGGUGUGUUCAAAGGACCACCUACAAGAACAGGUACACAGCUACCAACAAAAAUAGAUCCAGAGCAGAAGACACCAGAUAUUCGAAGUGAAAAACUAAGAAAAUCAGUUGAAGAGGAAGCUCUACCUCCAUCCAAGAUGACCAAAUCGGAAAAGAAACAAAAAGAGUCAAUUAAAGAAAAAAGUACAGAGCCAUAUGAGGUAACUAAACCUAAGUUCCCAGACCGGAAGCUAAGGAAGUCUACUGAGGAAGCAGAUCUCAAACCUCACUUCAAGUCCACAGAGCAGUCAGGCACAGAGCAACCUGAGCAGACUAAGUUCCCAGACAAAAAACUAAGACAGUCAACUAAAAAGAAAGUCUCAGGGCCACUGGAGGAUUUUGAAGAAGAAUCAAGAAGACCCAUUGAUGAAGCAAGUCUAGAACUCUCACAAAAGAGACCAUUAAAGGCUUCAAAGAAAGCACAAAAAAGCUCUUUUGAUGAAAAAUUUCCAGAGAUGCUAGAACAGAUUACUGUAGAACUACUAGAUGACCAAGAGGAGACACAAGAAGAGUCCAUUAAGGAGAAAGUUCCAGAACCAUUAGGGGACCGGAAACCAUCAGCUCAAAAGCACAAGCUGAGAAAAUCAAGUGAAAGGUCUAAAUUAAAGGACACAUUAAUAGAGCCAAGUAAGGACAAGGACCCGGGGCUACAAACACAGACUGAAUUUCCAAAGGAGAAACUAAUAAAGACAACGGAGAAAACGGGUGACAAGCCACAGCAGAUAACUGAUCCAGACAUUCAAGAGAAGUCGCAGCCAGAACCAACCGAGAAAAAUCUAGAGUUACCAAAUAAACCCAAGCCAGAAGAGGAGAGAGACCUCCCCAAGGAAGACAAACCAGAAUCAAGCAAACCUAAUUAUCCUGCAGGCAAAGAUAAGCUAGCAUUACCAGCCAAGAUUAAAACUGAGUUUAUAGUAGGAUCUCCUAGAGAAAGCGUAGAGUCCUUCAGUACAUUGUACGAAACCCAGGAGUUCCUCAAAGACCUUCAGACUGACAUGAACGAACUGUUCCCAAUCGUUGAUGCUUCAGAGUCUCAGACAGAACUGAGGGAUUCUACAGUGUUACCCCAGGAGGUGGAGCUACUAGGACGUAAAGAAACCAAGCCAAGUCUUACCCCAGAGUUUGAGCAUCUUACCUGGAGCCCAGAAAGGGUUGCAGAGUGGAUUAGUGAUCUAGGCUUCCCUCAAUACAAGGAGUGUUUUACUGAAAACUUCAUCAAUGGUCAAAAACUCAUCCACGUAAACUGCUCCAACCUUCCUCAGAUGGGAAUAACUGAUUUUGAAGACAUGAAGAAGCUGGAUGUGACUCACACAAGCUGUCCCAUCACGCAAGAGGAUGCAGCACUUUAGAAUUUUGUUUCCUGCUGGGCAGUGGUGGCACACGCCUUUAAUCCCAGCACUUGGGAGGCAGAGGCAGGCGGAUUUAUGAGUUCGAGGCCAGCCUGGUCUACAGAGCAAUAUCGUACCACACCCGAGUGCUGCUGGGGAUCGAGGAGCCACUGUUCAGCCGCAGCAUCAGCCUUCCCUACAGAGACAACAAGGGCUUGUUCUUUGAGCAGAAAGGGCACAGUGGAGUAAAGUCUGAUUCCUUGACCUUGGCAAAAUUUGUUGAAGCAGCAGGAUUACAGGAGUAUAAUCCAGAGAUAAAAGCUGAGGAAAAGAAAGAAGACGCACUGCCAGAAAACAGCUUGGAAGAAAAUGAGGAACUCUAUGAGGCCACUUAAAGAUGGGGUGUGGCUUGACAGCAAUGCUGCUGAUCUGGGGUCACCCACACUUCUGUGUGUUGAACUGCCUGGGCCUGAUGACCCCUGGCCUACAUCAGAUAAGAGCAUGUCUUAGUCUGAUUGCAAUGAUUCUGAGAAUAAAAAUAAAGACAAAGCCUAGAGAGUCAA